CCUACGGGAGGCAGCAGUGGGGAAUAUUGGGCAAUGGGCGCAAGCCUGACCCAGCAACGCCGCGUGAGGGAAGAAGGCUUUCGGGUUGUAAACCUCUUUUGACAGGGAAGAGUAGAGUACGGUACCUGUCGCAUAACCCACGGCUAACUACUAGGCAGCAGCCGCGGUAAUACGUAGGGGGCGAGCGUUGUCCGGAUUUACUGGGUGUAAAGGGCGUGUAGGCGGGUUGAGAAGUCAGGGGUGAAAUGCUGUGGCUCAACCGCAGAAUUGCAGUUGAAACUGGUGGUCUUGAGUACUGGAGAGGCAGGCGGAAUUCCUGGUGUAGCGGUGAAAUGCGUAGAUAUUAGGAGGAACACCAGUGGCGAAGGCGGCCUGCUGGACAGUGACUGACGGUGAGGCGCGAAAGCGUGGGGAGCAAACAGGAUUAGAUACCCGAGUAGUC
rnacentral:rRNA from 1 species